rnacentral:rRNA from 1 species
GGAACCCUACGGGGGGCAGCAGUGAGGAAUAUUGGUCAAUGGACGCAAGUCUGAACCAGCCAUGCCGCGUGCAGGAAGACGGCUCUAUGAGUUGUAAACUGCUUUUGUACGAGGGUAAACGCAGAUACGUGUAUCUGUCUGAAAGUAUCGUACGAAUAAGGAUCGGCUAACUCCGUGCCAGCAGCCGCGGUAAUACGGAGGAUUCAAGCGUUAUCCGGAUUUAUUGGGUUUAAAGGGUGCGUAGGCGGUUCGAUAAGUUAGAGGUGAAAUCCCGGGGCUCAACUCCGGCACUGCCUCUGAUACUG